UGGGAUACCACUUGGAAACAGGUGCUAAUACCGGAUAACAACAAUAGCUGCAUGGCUAUUGCUUAAAAGGCGGCGAAAGCUGUCGCUAAAGGAUGGACCCGCGGUGCAUUAGCUAGUUGGUAAGGUAAUGGCUAACCAAGGCGACGAUGCAUAGCCGAGUUGAGAGACUGAUCGGCCACAUUGGGACUGAGACACGGCCCAAACUCCUACGGGAGGCAGCAGUAGGGAAUCUUCCACAAUGGGCGAAAGCCUGAUGGAGCAACGCCGCGUGAGUGAAGAAGGUUUUCGGAUCGUAAAGCUCUGUUGUUGGUGAAGAAGGAUAGAGGUAGUAACUGGCCCCUACUUGACGGUAAUCAACCAGAAAGUCACGGCUAACUACGUGCCAGCAGCCGCGGUAAUACGUAGGUGGCAAGCGUUGUCCGGAUUUAUUGGGCGUAAAGCGAGCGCAGGCGGAAAGAUAAGUCUGAUGUGAAAGCCCCCGGCUUAACCGAGGAAUUGCAUCGGAAACUGUGUUUCUUGAGUGCAGAAGAGGAGAGUGGAACUCCAUGUGUAGCGGUGGAAUGCGUAGAUAUAUGGAAGAACACCAGUGGCGAAGGCGGCUCUCUGGUCUGUAACUGACGCUGAGGCUCGAAAGCAUGGGUAGCGAACAGGAUUAGAUACCCUGGUAGUCCAUGCCGUAAACG
rnacentral:rRNA from 1 species